rnacentral:rRNA from 1 species
AACGCGAAGAACCUUACCAGCUCUUGACAUGUCUCGUAUGGGGAUCGGAGACGGUUUCCUUCAGUUCGGCUGGCGAGAACACAGGUGCUGCAUGGCUGUCGUCAGCUCGUGUCGUGAGAUGUUGGGUUAAGUCCCGCAACGAGCGCAACCCUCAUCUUCAGUUGCCAUCAGGUAAAGCUGAGCACUCUGGAGAAACUGCCGGUGACAAGCCGGAGGAAGGCGGGGAUGACGUCAAGUCCUCAUGGCCUUUAUGGGCUGGGCUACACACGUGCUACAAUGGCGGUGACAGAGGGACGCGAAGGGGCAACCCUUGGCCAAUCUCAAAAAGCCGUCUCAGUUCGGAUUGUUCUCUGCAACUCGAGAGCAUGAAGCUGGAAUCGCUAGUAAUCGCGGAUCAGCACGCCGCGGUGAAUACGUUCCCGGGCCUUGUACACACCGGCUAC